ACUUCAUGAUUUGGGUAUUGAGCAAUUUUACAGUUAAACCUCUCCCAAUCUUCAAAUAACAGUUCUCCAUUUAUUUGCCAAAAAUUUACAAUCUCAUCCCACUUUUGAAGAU